rnacentral:rRNA from 1 species
AACGCGAAGAACCUUACCUCCCCUCAACAUCUCUGGAACCUUCAUAAGAGGCGACGGUCCCUUAGGGAGCCGGAACACAGGUGCUGCAUGGCUGUCGUCAGCUCGUGUCGUGAGAUGUUGGGUUAAGUCCCGCAACGAGCGCAACCCUUGUCAUUAGUUGCCAUCAUUUGGUUGGGCACUCUAGGGAGACUGCCGGUGACAAACCGGAGGAAGGUGGGGAAGAAGUCAAGUCCUCAUGGCCCUUAUGGGUAGGGCUUCACACGUCAUACAAUGGUCGGUACAGAGGGUUGCCAAGCCGGGAGGCGGAGCCAAUCCCUAAAAGCCGAUCGUAGUCCGGAUCGUAGUCUGCAACUCGACUACGUGAAGUCGGAAUCGCUAGUAAUCGCAGAUCAUCAUGCUGC